CCUACGGGGGGCUGCAGUGGGGAAUAUUGGACAAUGGGGGGAACCCUGAUCCAGCCAUGCCGCGUGUGUGAAGAAGGCCCUCGGGUUGUAAAGCACUUUCAGUGAGGAAGAACGCCUGGUGGUUAAUACCCAUCAGGAAAGACAUCACUCACAGAAGAAGCACCGGCUAACUCCGUGCCAGCAGCCGCGGUAAUACGGAGGGUGCGAGCGUUAAUCGGAAUUACUGGGCGUAAAGCGCGCGUAGGUGGCUUGAUAAGCCGGUUGUGAAAGCCCCGGGCUCAACCUGGGAACGGCAUCCGGAACUGUCAAGCUAGAGUGCAGGAGAGGAAGGUAGAAUUCCCGGUGUAGCGGUGAAAUGCGUAGAGAUCGGGAGGAAUACCAGUGGCGAAGGCGGCCUUCUGGACUGACACUAACACUGAGGUGCGAAAGCGUGGGUAGCAAACAGGAUUAGAUACCCCGGUAGUC
rnacentral:rRNA from 1 species